CGCUCAGCCCGGUGGGAGGGGCACAGCCGGGCCCCCAAAAGAGGUAGGGCUGGUGCAGUGCCCCGCUGCCCCCGUUUAAUCCAUCUCUGCCCUUCCCCGAGCCCUUCCUUUCCCGGUCCUGCCACCCCUUUGGCCACCUCACCUCACAAGGAUUCCUUGGCCUGGUGGUUGGUCUUCCUGAUCAUCUCCCCGGUCCCUCCCUCUCUCCCUUCCAUCCUUUGGAUAGUCUUUCCUCACUGGUCCAGGCCAGCCUGAUGGAUUCAGGACCAAUUCGGAGCAGCAGAUGGGAAGCAGAGGAUCUCCAGCUCCCCAACUCUUCCCACCUUCCCCGGACCACUCACAUCGGGAUUUCCCAGGCACUGCCCCGUCUAGGGCGAAGAAACUCUGAUUACGUAAGCUCCGAAGUUUUAAAAGGUCUUUGUGGCUCAAGAAACAAACAAGUGUGGGAACCCAAGUGGAAAUUCCAGAUCUGAAAGGAGGAAACACUGAAGUUCAGAGAGGUGAAGCAACUGCCCUUGCAACCAACGGCAAGAGACUCCGUCCCAGGACUCCCGAGUCCUCUUCUGAGCCCCUUCCUUCCU